UAGGGAAUCUUCCGCAAUGGACGAAAGUCUGACGGAGCAACGCCGCGUGAGUGAUGAAGGCUUUCGGGUCGUAAAACUCUGUUGUUAGGGAAGAACAAGUACGAGAGUAACUGCUCGUACCUUGACGGUACCUAACCAGAAAGCCACGGCUAACUACGUGCCAGCAGCCGCGGUAAUACGUAGGUGGCAAGCGUUAUCCGGAAUUAUUGGGCGUAAAGCGCGCGCAGGCGGUUUCUUAAGUCUGAUGUGAAAGCCCACGGCUCAACCGUGGAGGGUCAUUGGAAACUGGGGAACUUGAGUGCAGAAGAGAAAAGCGGAACUCCACGUGUAGCGGUGAAAUGCGUAGAGAUGUGGAGGAACACCAGUGGCGAAGGCGGCUUUUUGGUCUGUAACUGACGCUGAGGCGCGAAAGCGUGGGGAGCAAACAGGAUUAGGAUACCCUGGUAGUCCACGCCGUAAACGAUGAGUGCUGAGUGUUAGAGGGUUUCCGCCUUUAGUGCU
rnacentral:rRNA from 1 species